rnacentral:rRNA from 1 species
CAGUCGCCACGGGAAAACGGAGGGUGCAAGCGUUAUCCGGAUUUAUUGGGUUUAAAGGGUCCGUAGGCGGAUCUGUAAGUCAGUGGUGAAAUCUCACAGCUUAACUGUGAAACUGCCAUUGAUACUGCAGGUCUUGAGUAAAUUUGAAGUGGCUGGAAUAAGUAGUGUAGCGGUGAAAUGCAUAGAUAUUACUUAGAACACCAAUUGCGAAGGCAGGUCACUAAGAUUUAACUGACGCUGAUGGACGAAAGCGUGGGGAGCGAACAGGAUUAGAGACCCGUGUAGUCCCUGUCUCUUAUAC